GGCAGUUUUGGCUCAACGAUUAAGGCUCUGGGUUACUGUUCAAAAGGUCAUGGGUUCAAGCCCCAGCACUGCCA